UACGAAGGGGGCUAGCGUUGCUCGGAAUCACUGGGCGUAAAGCGCACGUAGGCGGCUUUCUAAGUCAGGGGUGAAAUCCUGGAGCUCAACUCCAGAACUGCCUUUGAUACUGGGAAGCUCGGGUCCGGAAGAGGUGAGUGGAACUGCGAGUGUAGAGGUGAAAUUCGUAGAUAUUCGCAAGAACACCAGUGGCGAAGGCGGCUCACUGGUCCGGUACUGACGCUGAGGUGCGAAAGCGUGGGGAUCAAACAGG
rnacentral:rRNA from 1 species